rnacentral:lncRNA from 1 species
GCGGGAGGAGGUAACCAUGGCGGCUGCCUGUCACCGAGCGAAGCAUCGAACGGGGCCGGGCAGAAUUGGCCGAGCUUUUUGAAGGUACCGAAGUAGAUUUAUUUCCGAUACCUAAACGAUUACCGGACGUCAGAACUCACGUCUUAGCGGCGCAUCACUUGUGGGUUCCACCAUGAUCGUGUGGUCCGAAUUAACUUGUACCCCACCGUGUUUCCUUGAGGUGUUCUCUCUGUUGUUUGUUAUCUCCACAGGUUUUCUCUUAUUUAUAUUCCUUCUCUUUUCCCCCGUUUCCUUUCCCUCCUCUCCUCUCCUCUCUCUUCUCUCUUCAUAAAUUAGCUAACAAAUAUUUGCAAUCGUCAUAAGCUCUAAAAAUUAAUUGGAUAUUGUGAUGAAAAAGUAGCUAACAAAUGGAUGAUUAUGGAAAAAAUUCAAGGUCAGUAUUACCAUUUGAUUGAGAUCACACGGUUUGAUCUUGUACUAAAAUAAUAAUAAUAAUAAUAAUAAUAUUUAAGUGAUUGAACCACACUCUUGGCAGAUUAAAGAAACAAUAAAUUUGGUUUCGGAUUCCAAAAACAACCUAUAAAAUAAUUUACCAAUGAUUCAUAUAGGGUGAUUGAGAUUGGAAGUUCAAGCACCUUCUUAGUACAAUGUCAUUGAAACUCUUUAAAGAUUCCAAAUAAAAUAAUAAAUAAUAAUAAUAAUCUUAACUAAAUUUGCCAAGUUUUCCUAGUUCCUCACCUUGGUCUUACCAGUCUUACCACAGUUAUACAUACUGAAUGACAACGCACGUUAAAAUGAGUAUUAUUUUCCGAAAGAAUAAUCACCGUUCUUUUUUCUCAUCUUAUCCUCUAUAGAACAAUGGUACACAAUGAAGAUUUAGGUUUUGUUGACAUCUCUUAUCAUCGACACAAGCUCAAGCUCAAUGCUGAUUGUUGCAUCAACACAUCCACGGACAAUUUAAGCUAGCAGUUAUGCAUUGCACAUCAUUGAACAUCAUCUCUAAAGACAAUUUUCAAGACGGAAGUGGAAAACGAAAUUGUUAUAGUGCACAAUUUUACGAUGGUCAAGAUUUAACUUAAGAUUAAUUUUUCUGCUUAUAAACAAAUGCACAAAGGUUUAUACAUGAUACUUGUCUAAGUAAAAAAUUUUCAAAUACACAAACGUAAUUGUCUAAUUUUUCUCCUGCUGCUCCCGGUAACAAUAUUUUGGUCGAAGCCGAGCUAAUGCUUCCGUGUGAGCCACUGGAAUGUACCUGGUAGAGAAGAUUUCCUCCCAUACUUGCUGGACUUCUACAAGGAGGAGAAAAUAAAAGCAAAAUUAGCAGUUUAUCGGCAAUCAUUAGUUACCACCAGAUACUAAAUUCUUAUUUUGGAAAUAUAGUUCCAAUUCAAAGUGAUCCUCGAAUCCAAGGCAAUGGGUCCAAACAAGAAGACAGUUCAGAGUCACCAAUGUGGCUCAAGGCAAAACGAUUAAUGCAUCAUUUCAUGUUGCUCAAAUGGUCAACUCAUUUUUUUUUCUUAGUUUUAAUUCUUUCAGUCUUCCUUAGAGCCAUUGAGACUAUAAAGGCGUGUAAAGGUCUAGCAUAAGCUACUUCAUCUUACGAGAAACAUAAUAUGAGAAAUGGUGGACGCCUGGUUCUGCCCUCUCCAAAUGCAGGUUGGUUGGCACAUAAAGUAGCACAAGCAGGUGAACACAAAGCUUCAGAAGCUAAGAUAAGAAGCCAUGGCAGAUAUCUUGAACAAUGCCAAAAGAACAUUUGGCUUGUCGAGGCAAAGCACUCUUACUUUUUUUAUCCAUGUCGGUGGAAUUAACUCCACUUUGAUCAAUAUGCAGAUAGAGACUGUCCAUUGGAAGCAUGUUAGUUUACAAAAAAAAAAAGACGAGAAGAUUUUUUACACUGAAUUUGGGUGGCAAUAGACCAAGACAAACUUCGUGAAACAAAUCAAUGAAUCAAGGAAACAUUCUCUAAUGCACUUUGUUGCUAUAUCAGAGGAAACAGAUUAACAUUCAAUGCCGUGAAUCAAUAUAUUAACUCAACAGAUCAUGCACUUCCGGCUAUUCAAAACCUGGAAGAAUUUGUUUGGAGUAUCUUAUUGUAUUUAAUGUUUUCUUUUUUCUAUGCUCACCCUUUCUCUUUUAUUAUAAAACUUUUAUCAUUUCAUUCUCUCGCUAUAAUCUUCAUGGCUCCUUUUUCCUUCUAAAGAAGAGUAAAAGAUUAAAUUCUCCCAUGAUUGCUGCAGGUGGAGGUGGGGGGAGAGAAAAAAAUGGUCUGGAAGGCAAGAAUACAUUAUCAUUUGAAUCAUCUUGAUGUGAACAGAAACCUCUCAUGGUUUUUUCCCUUUGAAGUGGUAAACAUAAAGAAGAGAAAAUGAAGUUUAGGAAAGGCAGAUAGUGGAGACCAGCUUCUUGAGUGGGAGGACAGCACAUUCUUGGAAGUCAAGGCAGAGUUAAUUUAACUUCUGAAGGCUCAGAUUAACGAGUUCAGACACUUUCUCUGUCAAGCAGCAGAAGGAAUUCAUCUUCAACAGAGGGUGGAAGUAAAAGAUUUAUGAUUAUAAUUGUUGAUGACAUUAUUACCAAUAUGUUGAGAUUUUUUAUGAUAUAUAAGUGGUAGAUGCAACCAUAUGCGGCAGAGAUACACCGCAGCCAUUGAACAUUCAGAGCUGGUAUUGCCAAUUUCUAUGGUAAAAUACACAUUCCGACCCUACUACACAGCUAAGGAACCAGCCAGAAAUCUUUUUG